UGCAAGUUGCACUUAGAAAUAAACCUACAGAAGUAAGUGUUGAUGACUGAGAUUGGCUAGUUAAGGAACAUUAUUUUUCUUCAAAAUUUCAGAAAGCAAGCCAACAAAAUACACUUAACAGAGG